GGCACAGUGGCUUAGUGGUUAGCACAUUUGCCUCACAACUCUGGGGUUGAGGGUUCAAAUCCCGCUUCCGCCA